CGUUCCCGGGCCUUGUACACACCGCCCGUCACGUCACGAAAGUCGGUAACACCCGAAGCCGGUGGCCUAACCCGCAAGGGAAGGAGCUGUCGAAGGUGGGACCAGCGAUUGGGACG
rnacentral:rRNA from 1 species